rnacentral:lncRNA from 1 species
UAUACCAGAAUAAUCCCAAUUUUAUUUUAAAAUAUUGAAUUAAUAUGCAUUUCCUCCAGGAAUAAGAGAAUAACAAAAAAUGCUAUAUAUAUUGAAAACAGAUAUUUCUAAUUGGUUUAACGAUUCAGUGGUUUUAAUGAUUCAGUAGAUGCAUUUAAAAACAAACAAAAAAAACCCUACUUGAAGGUUGUUAGUCAUGAUUAAAGCCAAACUGGUUUUAACAAUCCCAUGAAAAUCUAGAUCUGUUAGAAGAAAAAUAAAUCACUGCAGCUGAGUGUGAGCUGCUGCCCUUAGGUGAAUCUGUAGGUGUAAUAAAGUGAAGUUUACAGGAGGAAGCUGAAAAGGAUAGAAUUAUGUGGAUUAUGAGAGAAAAGUUUCCUUUCACAGGAGCAGCCUGUGUACACAGGGGCCAAGGAGAAACCCACCGGUCUGGUUACUGGUGUCAGUAAAGCUGUAGUAAAAUGUAUAUGAUGAGGAAAAAUCCUGCACUAGCAGGAUGAUCUAACUCUAAUGUCUUUUUUUUUGCAACACUACAUGAUGCUCAUAGAAAGGUAAUUAACCCAAAACCAACAGGGAACUUGCAGUAAGCAAUACCUGGAAAGAUUAGUAUUUAGAGUAAUGCAGAAAGUGUUUGCUGUGGGUGUAAAAUUGGCUGCUCAAGCAAAGCUUUUAACAAGCAUUAAUGCUUGUUAAAUCAUAUAAUCAUGUACUUCUGGUUGCUUAGGUCAAAUUGUAUCUUUCCUUCCACAAAGGCGUAAAAGUCAAUUGAUGCAUGUUAGUCUGUAGCAGUGGUGAGAAUGGGAUGAGGGCGUGUUGUUUUUCAGAAAGUCAUUGGAUUUUUUUGCCUUUGAAAUGCACUGGUUGGUGUUCCAAUACUUUGUUAGAGCUGGCUACUGCAGGACAGUUCACUGCAUUCAUGUAGAGGCUUUGAGAGUUUCUCCUGAUACAGCUUCUGAUUUUUAUGGCUGAAAAGGACAACAAAUAGAACAAAUGUGUCCAAAUCACACUUAAAUUGCCUACCCUGGUCAGCUGAAAAAUAUCACUAACAUGCUACUGUUGCAUUGAUUUUCAUGAGGCUGGUUGGAUGCAAUCAAAGUUCUCUGGGUGGCAGGAAAGACAGGCCUAAGAGAUAUUUAAGGAUUUAAACCUGCACCAUUUUCCUGGCUGAUAACUGCUUGUUGGAUGUCUAUCAGAUCAGAAAAAUAUGCUAGUAUACACUGUUGUGGACAAUCAUCAUAACCAUAACCAUAGCAGCCACUGUGAUGCAGGCUCUCAGAUCAUUUGGGUCAUAUAAUUCCCACUGAAAUAAAAAAAAGACCUUUAAUAUAGGUUCCUCAGCAGAGCUGAUUCUUUGUGAAAACAGUUGGUAGUAAACUAGGGCCCUGUAGUAUACAACCCUUCAUGACUGAUCUUGGCUUAAAAUAGAUUUUCACUGGAGCUUGCAUUUAUCCAAACUUAGAAACUACCAGUACUGUUGCCAGCUUCUGAGCAGGGUUAAAACGAACAUCAGGACUUAGAACUGAAAUAACCAUGUAAUCCAACUGGAUUUUUGGGUAGGCUUUAGAUCCAGAACUCCCAGUUCACAUUGGCAGCCUUUGACUCACAUCAGUUACCAAAGAAGGAAAAAAUGUAAAUUGUGAAAUGUUGUUCUCCUUCUUUCUCUGCUCUCCCCCUGCACUUAGGAAGUUUUGCCCUUAUUAGGCUGUUGAUCUACUAUGUGAUUGCUCUACCAUUAAAAAGCACAGACUCUCUUCAGAGCUAAUGAGCAGGGAGGACUUAGAAAGAGAAGUGAAGCAAUGAGGAUCACGUUAAUGAAAUCCAUCUCCACAGCUCUUACAGACUUCAACCAGAAUCUGAAUAAAUUGGGGCUCAGGACUUUAGAGCGUAUGAAGCUGUAAAAAUGCAGUAUCUCUAUUUUCUUUGGAAACUACAAUUACAUUCUUAAUUGCUCUGUCUGAGUGCACAGUUUAGGAAACAUUAUUCUGUUGUGAUGGCAAUAGGGCAUAGCCUAUAUAAUUUCUGACAAACUCUUAUUGUGACAGCUUGUGUCCUUUUGCUAGUCUUGCAGCAAAGGCUGGGAAAUACUAAAUUUCACUCCAUCUCUAACAUGUAGGUGGAGAGUUAUUUUGUUUCUUUUUAAAUAUCUCCGAAUUGAAACAUGAAAGAAUAUGGGGCCAUGGAAUAAACUUGAGGUGCAGCUCAGAUUGUAAUUUACGUUAAUAAUGAGAGGAAAAGAGAAGCAUAUUUUAAAAAUGGGGAUUGAUAUUAAAUUGGAUUAGAUUUUUAUUAUCAUCACUGUCUGCAAAUUGUAUUGGGUCAUGAAAUAAACUAGAGAUGCAGCUUAGAUUGUAAUUUAGGUUAAUAAUGAGAGGAAAAGGAGAAGCACAUAUAAAAAAUAUUAAACUUGUAUUAAAUUAAAUUUAUAUUAACAUCAUCAAUACCUGCAAAUUGUACCAUUUGAAUAUGUAAAUGACCAUGAUAUCCUGCAGAAUACAUGUCUAUUGAAAUACCUUUCUAGUGGCUGCCAGCAGAAGAUGGAUGGCAUGAUUAAAGCCACCAUUUAAUUGGGAAAACUCCAAAUGUCUGCAAACAAAACAAACCUAACAUAAGCCCUAGGUCAUCAAAAUUAUUUUCCCUUAACCCCAGACUAUUUCUGGUUUAAUAUUACAACAGCCAGAUAACAGAUAAAAUUUUUUAAAAGUCUGUGACAAAAACACCAAAACUUUGAAGUCCACUUUUAAGCCUCUUUGAAUCUGUUGAAGCUGUGUGGGGCAUAGAAGGGAGCAAGAUGGUUGGCAUACUAGUGAGGGCAUAUCAUGGGCUCAAGUGUCACUCAUAGCAGGUGGCAGAUGAGCAGGGUUUGGUGGAUCACAAGUCUAGACAUGAGUGCUUACAGGAAUAUUUUGGCUGAAUGGAUCAAACUGUCAUUGUACUUACUAAUAUCACACAACUCAAUACUCUGAUAAAUGUAUGUAGAUGGAAGUGAAGAAUACAUUGGUUAAAAAGCAGGAUCUUAACACAGAUAAGUUAUCCUCAAUAAACAUGAAAACAUCCUUAUGAAAACAUUUGACUUCAGCAAUGUAGAAUUUUCUAAUUUAUUGAAGCUUUGUUUUUUAUCUUGCUGUAUGAUGCUAUGAUGAACUUGGUGGCCAAGUUAGUAGUAUUCUAACAGCUUUCUUUUAGGAUCAGGGCUACCUGGCCA